UCGGACGGUAGCACAGAGGAGCUUGCUCCUCGGGUGACGAGUGGCGGACGGGUGAGUAAUGUCUGGGAAACUGCCCGAUGGAGGGGGAUAACUACUGGAAACGGUAGCUAAUACCGCAUAACGUCGCAAGACCAAAGUGGGGGACCUUCGGGCCUCACACCAUCGGAUGUGCCCAGAUGGGAUUAGCUUGUAGGCGGGGUAACGGCCCACCUAGGCGACGAUCCCUAGCUGGUCUGAGAGGAUGACCAGCCACACUGGAACUGAGACACGGUCCAGACUCCUACGGGAGGCAGCAGUGGGGAAUAUUGCACAAUGGGCGCAAGCCUGAUGCAGCCAUGCCGCGUGUAUGAAGAAGGCCUUCGGGUUGUAAAGUACUUUCAGCGGGGAGGAAGGUGUUGAGGUUAAUAACCUCAGCAAUUGACGUUACCCGCAGAAGAAGCACCGGCUAACUCCGUGCCAGCAGCCGCGGUAAUACGGAGGGUGCAAGCGUUAAUCGGAAUUACUGGGCGUANAGCGCACGCAGGCGGUCUGUUAAGUCAGAUGUGAAAUCCCCGGGCUUAACCUGGGAACUGCAUUUGAAACUGGCAGGCUUGAGUCUCGUAGAGGGGGGUAGAAUUCC
rnacentral:rRNA from 1 species